CGUAACAAGGUCUCCGUUGGUGAACCAGCGGAGGGAUCAUUACUGAGUUUACGCUCUACAACCCUUUGUGAACAUACCUAUAACUGUUGCUUCGGCGGGUAGGGUCUCCGCGACCCUCCCGGCCUCCCGCCUCCGGGCGGGUCGGCGCCCGCCGGAGGAUAACCAAACUCUGAUUUAACGACGUUUCUUCUGAGUGGUACAAGCAAAUAAUCAAAACUUUUAACAACGGAUCUCUUGGUUCUGGCAUCGAUGAAGAACGCAGCGAAAUGCGAUAAGUAAUGUGAAUUGCAGAAUUCAGUGAAUCAUCGAAUCUUUGAACGCACAUUGCGCCCGCCAGCAUUCUGGCGGGCAUGCCUGUUCGAGCGUCAUUUCAACCCUCAAGCUCUGCUUGGUGUUGGGGCCCUACAGCUGAUGUAGGCCCUCAAAGGUAGUGGCGGACCCUCUCGGAGCCUCCUUUGCGUAGUAACUUUACGUCUCGCACUGGGAUCCGGAGGGACUCUUGCCGUAAAACCCCCAAUUUUCCAAAGGUUGACCUCGGNUCAGGUAGGAAUACCCGCUGAACUUAAGCAUAUCAAUA
rnacentral:rRNA from 1 species